UACCAGUACGGAAUUAAAUGACAGUAGUGUGGCGGCAUGUGAUAAAAUGAAACUAUUUGAGCCUAUUAGCAGUUGAACGGGUUAUUAUUAACCUCGUCCAACGGGGGUGGUUUUCGCGAGAAUAAUCUCCCAUGAUAUAAUUCGUAUCCGUAGUGUAGACAAUGCUCACCAAGCAGAGUCACCAUAUCUGUUGCUUCGCCAACGAGUUUCAACGUUGAUUUUUCGAACGUCGUUGGCGCUGUCGAAUUCAAAGUAACGUACACUGCACAGCACAACCCACUGGACACUGGAUCAGUAAAAGUAACAACUUCACCAGUUCAGGUGUCGAAUGUUGCAAGUAAUAUUAACUACAAUGUGGUGGUUCAGGCUAUUAACUCAAGUAACAAAUUAGGGACAAAAAGCAGCCAAGUUCGGGCACGAACAGCUCCGGAUGGUUCAAGGAUCCUGAACGUGAUCACCACUCCAACUUUCCUCACCAUCUUCCUGGAAGAAACUCCGGGAGCAACAGCAUGGGAGGUUGAGGUUAAUGACACAAUUACAGGGACAUCAAGGAUCAUCUCUGUUCCUAAUGGAGUUCCUUCAAAUACAUCAUAUGUGGCUAUUAUACACCCCUCAACCCAAACACUCCACACACACUGAGGGCAAGAGUAUC